GACGUAGGGCGCGAGCGUUGUCCGGAUUUAUUGGGCGUAAAGAGCUCGUAGGCGGCUUGUCGCGUCGACUGUGAAAACCCGUGGCUCAACCAUGUGGUCUGCAGUCGAUACGGGCAGGCUAGAAUUCGGUAGGGGAGACUGGAAUUCCUGGUGUAGCGGUGGAAUGCGCAGAUAUCAGGAGGAACACCGAUGGCGAAGGCAGAUCUCUGGGCCGUUACUGACGCUGAGGAGCGAAAGCAUGGGGUGCGAACAGG
rnacentral:rRNA from 1 species